rnacentral:rRNA from 1 species
UACGUAGGGGGCUAGCGUUGUCCGGAAUCAUUGGGCGUAAAGAGCGUGUAGGCGGCCCGGUAAGUCCGCUGUGAAAGUCGGGGGCUCAACCCUCGAAAGCCGGUGGAUACUGUCGGGCUAGAGUGCGGAAGAGGCGAGUGGAAUUCCCGGUGUAGUGGUGAAAUGCGUAGAUAUCGGGAGGAACACCAGUGGCGAAAGCGGCUACCUGGCCCAUUCUUGACGCUGAGGCGCGAAAGCUAGGGGAGCAAACGGG